rnacentral:rRNA from 1 species
CCUACGGGGGGCAGCAGUGGGGAAUAUUGCACAAUGGGGGAAACCCUGAUGCAGCGACGCCGCGUGAAGGAAGAAGUAUCUCGGUAUGUAAACUUCUAUCAGCAGGGAAGAUAGUGACGGUACCUGACUAAGAAGCCCCGGCUAACUACGUGCCAGCAGCCGCGGUAAUACGUAGGGGGCAAGCGUUAUCCGGAUUUACUGGGUGUAAAGGGUGCGUAGGUGGUAUGGCAAGUCAGAAGUGAAAACCCAGGGCUUAACUCUGGGACUGCUUUUGAAACUGUCAGACUGGAGUGCAGGAGAGGUAAGCGGAAUUCCUAGUGUAGCGGUGAAAUGCGUAGAUAUUAGGAGGAACACCAGUGGCGAAGGCGGCUUACUGGACGGUAACUGACGUUGAGGCUCGAAAGCGUGGGGAGCAAACAGGAUU